GUGCUCGCUUUGGCAGCACGUAUACUAAAAUUGGAAUGAUACAGAGAAGAUUAGCAUGGCCCCUGUGCAAGGAUAAUAACAAAUUAUAAGACUAGUAGCCAGGAAGA